GUGAGGAAUUUUCCGCAAUGGGCGAAAGCCUGACGGAGCAAUGCCGCGUGAAGGAUGAAGGCCUAUGGGUUGUAAACUUCUUUUCUCAGAAAAGAAUUAUGACGGUAUCUGAGGAAUAAGCAUCGGCUAACUCUGUGCCAGCAGCCGCGGUAAGACAGAGGAUGCAAGCGUUAUCCGGAAUGAUUGGGCGUAAAGCAUCUGUAGGUUGUUUAAAAAGUAUUCUGUCAAAGAUUAGGGCUUAACCCUAGAUAGGCAGAAUAAACUUUUAAGCUAGAGUUUGGUAGAGGCAGAGUGAAUUCCCGGUGGAGCGGUGAAAUGCGUAGAUAUCGGGAGGAACACCAAAGGCGAAGGCACUCUGCUGGGCCAAUACUAACACUGAGAGACGAAAGCGAGGGGAGCAAAUGGGAUUAGAAACCCGGGUAGUCC
rnacentral:rRNA from 1 species